rnacentral:sRNA from 1 species
UUUGGCCGGGAUCGACCCCCGUUAGCGAGUUUCGCCCACGGGGGACAUUGGC